rnacentral:lncRNA from 1 species
UAUUUUGGCCAGGAGCUGAAGUUGGUUGUUUAGUAGUAGUAGUUUGAGUAGUGACCGAAGUAGUAGUCUGGUGUGUGGGUGCAAGAGUAGUUGGGGAAGAAUUAGGUGUGGUAAUUGGGGCAGCUGUGGUCUCUUGUGGAGCUGGGGAAGACGGUGGAGCUGGUGUAGUUGCAGAAGGUGUGGGUGGGGCAGCUGUGGUCUCUGGUGGAGCUGAGGAAGAUGGUGGAGCUGGUGUAGUUGCAGGAGGUGUGGGUGGGGCAGCUGUGGUCUCUGGUGGAGCUGAGGAAGAUGGUGGAGCUGGUGUAGUUGCAGAAGGUGUGGGUGGGGCAGCUGUGGUGUCUUGUGGAGCUGGGGAAUUCACUGGUGCUAAUGUAGCUACAGAAGAGCUUGUGUUAACAUUUUCUCUUGAAGAUAUGGUGGUGGCAUUCUGGGGAAGAAAAGUCACAUUUGGAAGGGUAGUAAUUUUGGUGGCUGGUGGGAUUCUCCCUGGACCAUAGGGUGGAGGAGGAGGUGGUGGAACAAAUCCUGGGCCAAAAGGUUGAGGAGGAGCCAGCGGUCCAGGUGGAUAGGGUCUUGGUUGGGAAGGUGGCUGUGGAUAACCUGGGCC